rnacentral:rRNA from 1 species
CGCUACUGCCCUGCCACCACCGCGGGUAAUCCGUAGUGGGCAAUCGUUGUCCGGAAUCCUUGGGCGUCAAGAGCGUGUAGGCGGCUCGAUAAGUCUGCUUUGAAAGUCCAGGGCUCAACCCUGGAAGGCCGGUGGAAACUGUCGGGCUAGAGUCCGGAAGAGGCGAGUGGAAUUCCCGGUGUAGCGGUGAAAUGCGCAGAUAUCGGGAGGAACACCAAUGGCGAAGGCAGCUCGCUGGGACGGUACUGACGCUGAGACGCGAAAGCGUGGGGAGCAAACAGGAUUAGAUACCCUAGUAGUC